GGACUGAAGUUAUCCUACACACACCUAGGGGAUGGUGGUAGGGAGAACACAGAAUGUGGCACUGAAUCGUGUGUCUAUGCAAAGUGUGGAAGAAACACUGUCUCCUCGUCAUGCCAUCCACCAACAAAAGGCUGGUGUGAUGAGAAGGGUUAGUAGGUCAGUUUGGAAGGCUACGUAGGACUGCUUAGAGAAUCCCCCCUUUCUUCAACCAGACCAGCCUCGCCUCCUGAGCAGCCCCCAUUUCCCUGUGGACCAGCCUAGCUGCUGCUCUGUGAUGUAUUAGCCCCUCCCCCAGGACUAGACUGGCAGAGGGUGUGGCUUGAUGACACAACAAAGCCCACAGGGUGGCCACUCAUUUGCCUGGGAGGAGUGUGUAAAGAGAGCUCAGUAGGCCUCUGUUAGACCCCAGGGAGGCUCAUAUGCUUGAGGGAUGGAAGGAAAAUCACCAGUAACUGCAAUGGAAGUUGACCCACUAAGCCCAAGAACACAAGGGAGGAAGAGGAAGGCCCCGUCUUCAAACCCGGUGCAAACACAAAAGAAUAAGGAAGUGUCAAAGAUCCCUACUCGUGGUCUGAGGACAAAAGCCUCCCCCAGAGCUCCCACCCUUUCUAGCAAAGCUAAGGAAAGGAGCCUGCCAACAAGUUCCAGCCAUUGCCAGCAUCUGAAGGGGAAACACAGUCAAGAUUAUCCACAGCAGAACCAGCCGAGUGUGGUGAAGUCCUCCCCCUCAUGUGAAGACAUGGUCAUCGAGUAACCUGAGUGAGGCCAGAGACCUUAGAACUAUCCUGCAGUCUCCACAGGUCAGGCCCCUGGGAAAUGGUCAACCUUGUAGACAGCAGCGAAUCUCAUCCCAGCUGGCACAUAAGUGUGAUGAAAAUGAAACCAACAACAGGAGAUGUCUGUGUGCCUCUUCUUUGAUGGUAUAAGGGCAGGAAGGGAAGAGGUGUGUGUGUCAGAAGGGAGAGAGGAAGGAACUGCGGGGCGGUGGUUCUGAGUGAUGGGUCCUCCGGGAGCCAGAUGUGGCGAUAUAAUCUCCUCUGGCCUGAUUCCUGGACACAAAUUUCUCCAUUAAAUUUUGUACCUGGGCAAAAAGAGGAUGCUGUUUCUCUGUGUGUGUGUGCAGUGUCUG
rnacentral:lncRNA from 1 species